rnacentral:rRNA from 1 species
CGGCGGACGGGUGAGUAACACGUAGAUAACCUACCUAUAAGACUGGGAUAACUUCGGGAAACCGGAGCUAAUACCGGAUAAUAUAUUGAACCGCAUGGUUCAAUGGUGAAAGACGGUUUUGCUGUCACUUAUAGAUGGAUCCGCGCCGCAUUAGCUAGUUGGUAAGGUAACGGCUUACCAAGGCAACGAUGCGUAGCCGACCUGAGAGGGUGAUCGGCCACACUGGAACUGAGACACGGUCCAGACUCCUACGGGAGGCAGCAGU